CCUACGGGAGGCAGCAGUGGGGGAUAUUGCACAAUGGGGGAAACCCUGAUGCAGCGACGCCGCGUGGGUGAAGAAGCGCCUCGGCGCGUAAAGCCCUGUCAGCAGGGAAGAAAAUGACGGUACCUGAAGAAGAAGCCCCGGCUAACUACGUACCAGCAGCCGCGGUAAUACGUAGGGGGUAAGCGUUAGCCGGAUUUACGGGGUGUAAAGGGGGCGCAGACGGCGAUGCAAGCCAGGAGUGAAAGCCCGGGGCCCAACCCCGGGACUGCUCUUGGAACUGGGUGGCUAGAGUGCAGGAGGGGCAGGAGGAAUUCCUGGUGUAGCGGUGAAAUGCGUAGAUAUCAGGAGGAACACCGGUGGCGAAGGCGGCCUGCUGGACUGCAACUGACGUUGAGGCCCGAAAGCGUGGGGAGCAAACAGGAUUAGAUACCCUAGUAGUC
rnacentral:rRNA from 1 species